rnacentral:rRNA from 1 species
UGAGUAACCUGCCCUUAACUCUGGGAUAAGCCUGGGAAACUGGGUCUAAUACCGGAUAUGACUCCUCAUCGCAUGGUGGGGGGUGGAAAGCUUUAUUGUGGUUUUGGAUGGACUCGCGGCCUAUCAGCUUGUUGGUGAGGUAAUGGCUCACCAAGGCUUCGACGGGUAGCCGGCCUGAGAGGGCGACCGGCCACACUGGGACUGAGAUACGGCCCAGACUCCGUACGGGAGCAG